rnacentral:tRNA from 1 species
GGGCGCUUAGCUCAGCUGGUUAGAGCGCACGGUUCACAUCCGUGAGGUUCGGAGGUUCGAGUCCUCUAGCGCCCA